UGGGGAAUUUUGCACAAUGGGGGAAACCCUGAUGCAGCGACGCCGCGUGAUUUAGAAGGCCUUCGGGUUGUAAAAAUCUUUUCUAUGGGAAGAAAAUGACAGUACCAUAGGAAUAAGGACCGGCUAAUUACGUGCCAGCAGCCGCGGUAAUACGUAAGGUCCGAGCGUUGUCCGGAAUCAUUGGGCGUAAAGGGUACGUAGGCGGGUAAGCAAGUUAGAAGUGAAAUCCUAUAGCUCAACUAUAGUAAGCUUUUAAAACUGCUCAUCUUGAGGUAUGGAAGGGAAAGUGGAAUUCCUAGUGUAGCGGUGAAAUGCGCAGAUAUUAGGGGGAAUACCGGUGGCGAAGGCGACUUUCUGGCCAUAACCUGACGCUGAGGCACGAAAGCGUGGGUAGCAAACAGG
rnacentral:rRNA from 1 species